UCCACAACAUUCUCACGAAGUUCCCCGUAGCACGGAAGCCAAGAGGAAGACCUUCCCAAAGCCGUGUCUCAGUACCCUUAGCGAAUAUGCAUAUUCCAGAACGAGUUAUGAAAGAAAACGGUUACCCAAGCAAAUCCGAUUGUUUCCACUGCAAAACAAAAUUGGGGAAGAGGACGAUUACGCAGUUCAAGUGCCUUGCUUGCGAGAAACGUUUGUGCAUUGGUAGCAGCGUCUUCAACUGUUUCAAAUUUUAUCAUGACGAAAUGUUGCAGUUAUCGCAGCAGCAGGUAUCGCAGCAAGUAGUGCCACUAGCGGAUCGCAACGAGUCACAGAACACUGGACAAAAUUCACCACGUUACGAUUACAAUAACUUGUUUGAAAUAUAUAAUGCAUCCCAAAAUCAUGAUAGUAAUGUCAUCAAUGAUGAUGAUUUACUGUUCGUUUAGUUAAUUGUUGUACUACUAUGAAAAUCAAAUCCCACUGUCAUGUCAAAAAUUUAUAGUGUGUGCCAUUUGGCUCAGUUAUAUUGUUGAUUUAUAAUUGAAAUUUCAUGUUCAAAAAGUGUAUAAUGUUCUAAUUAUUGUUCGCGAAUCAGUUCUUGGUUCGUAAUAAAUCAAAACUGCAUAAACAGAAUAUUCAAAA